GACGAACGCUGGCGGCGUGCUUAACACAUGCAAGUCGAACGGAAAGGCCCUGCUUGCAGGGUACUCGAGUGGCGAACGGGUGAGUAACAAGUGGGUGAUUUGCCCUGCAAUUCGGGUUAAGUAUGGGCAACAGGGCCUAAUACAGGCUAGGAGCCAUUUUUAGCGUGAUGGUUGGAAAGUUUUUUCGGUGUUGGGUGAGCUCGCGGCCUAUCAGCUUGUUGGUGGGGUAAUGGCCUACCAAGGCGGCGACGGGUAGCCGGCCUGAGAGGGUGGACGGCCACAUUGGGACUGAGAUGCGGCCCAGACUGCGACGGGAGGCAGAAGUGGGGAAUAUUGCACGAUGGGCGCAGGCCUGAUGCAGCGGCGCCGCGUGGGGGAUGACGGCCUUCGGGUUGUAGACUCCUUGCGCUAGGGACGAAGCUUUUUGUGACGGUACCUAGAUAAGAAGCACCGGCUAACUACGUG
rnacentral:rRNA from 1 species